rnacentral:sRNA from 1 species
AGAAGAACCUGCUCUAACAUGGGAGAGGCCAGGGAGCAGCCUUGGCCUCUGUUUCUAACACCAUUCAAAACUUCUCUCUAAAUCUACUUUGGAUUACAGGGCCUAUCAGUUUAUCUUCAGCUGUGCACAGACAGAUAGAAGCCAUCAACAGAGAUUCACAUAUGCUGAGUUUACCACAUCUUAGGAGCAGACAGCUUCUUUAUGAUGAGUUGGAUGAAGUAAACCCACGUCUUCGAGAACCCCAAGAGCUCUUUUCCAUUUUGUCUACCAAGAGGCCACUGCAGGCUCCAAGAUGGCCAAUUGAAUGUGAGGUCAUCAAGGAAAACAUUCAUCAUAUUGAGUGGGCUCCACCUCAACCAGAAUAUUUCUAUCAGCCUAAAGGAAAUGAAAAGGUACCAGAGAUUGUAGGAGAGAAAAAAGGAACAGUUGUCUAUCAGUUAGAUUCAGUGCCUACAGAAGGUUCCUAUUUUACCAGUUCCAGAGUGGGAGGCAAACGAGGAAUUAUCAAGGAACUUGCUGUCACGUUGCAAGGACCAGA